GGGGGUAUAGCUCAGGGGUAGAGCAUUUGACUGCAGAUUAAUAGGUCCCUAGUUCAAAUCUGGGUGCCCCCU
rnacentral:tRNA from 2 species